rnacentral:rRNA from 1 species
UACGAAGGGGGCUAGCGUUGCUCGGAAUUACUGGGCGUAAAGGGCGCGUAGGCGGCACUGUUAGUCAGGCGUGAAAGUCCUGGGGCUCAACCUGGGAACUGCGCUUGAUACGGCAGAGCUAGAGGAUGGAAGAGGCUCGCGGAAUUCCCAGUGUAGAGGUGAAAUUCGUAGAUAUUGGGAAGAACACCGGUGGCGAAGGCGGCGAGCUGGUCCAUUACUGACGCUGAGGCGCGACAGCGUGGGGGAGCAAACAGG